rnacentral:lncRNA from 1 species
AUGAUUGAAAAGAAUAUUACCAAGGUGAUAGAAUUAAUUCUUUUGGGUUUUUCAGUCCAGAGAGAGAGUGAAAUCCUUCUCUUUCUUCUCAUUUUAGUGGUAUAUUCUCUAUCAAUGGUGGGAAACGUUGGCAUGAUUUCCUUAAUCCGGUUGGAUCCUCACCUUCACACACCCAUGUACUUUUUUCUCAGAAUCUGGCCUUUGUAGACCUUUGUUACUCCUCAUCAAUAGCCCCAAAGUUCCUGGAGACCCUCCUGACCAAGCACAGGUCCAUAUCUCUCUAUGCAUAUGCGCACAGCUGAGCUUUUUCCUGAACUUCUUGAUUUUGGAGACGUUCCUUCUUGCAGUAAUGGCUUAUGAUCACUAUGUGGCCAUCUGCAAUCCUCUUCUCUACAUGGUGAUCAUGUCUCAAAAGGUAUGCAUGCAACUGGUAGCAGGCCCUUACUGCUUUCCUCCACACAGUUGUUACUUUUCGAUUGAUCUGCUAUGGCCCCAAUGUUAUCACUUCUAUUGUGAUGAUGUUCCUUUGAUGGCCCUUGCCUACUCAGACACCAGCCUCAGCGAGAUCUUGAUUUUUAUCUUUGCUGGAUUCAACAUAAUCAGCUCUUUGACCAUGGUCCUUAUUUCUUACCUAUGCAUUGUGGCUGCCAUCCUGAGAAUCCAAUCUGCAGAAGGGAGACGCAAAGCAUUCUCAUCCUGUGGUUCUCAUCUGACUGCUGUCACUAUAUUCUACGGGACUCUGAUCUUCAUGUAUCUGCAGCCCAAAUCAAACCAUUCCCUUGACACAGACAAAAUGGUCUCUGUCUUCUACACAAUAGUCAUUCCUUUGUUGAAUCCCAUGAUCUACAGCCUGAGGAACCAAGAGGUAAAAAAUGCCUUGAGGACAACCUUUGAAAAAUGUUAUUUCCUAUCUCUAAUAAAC